GACGAACCGUGCGAACGUUGUUCGGAAUCACUGGGCUUAAAGCGCGCGCAGGCGGCGGUGCUGGCCCGGCGUGAAAGCCCCCGGCUCAACCGGGGAGAGUCGUCGGGGACCGCACCGCUUGAGGGCGGUAGGGGCUGGUGGAAUGCCUGGUGUAGUGGUGAAAUGCGUAGAGAUCAGGCAGAACACCUGGGGCGAAGGCGGCCAGCUGGGCCGUCCCUGACGCUGAGGCGCGAAGGCGUGGGGAGCGAACGGG
rnacentral:rRNA from 1 species